AAAUGCGGCGGAUCCGAUUGUACCUGUAAAGACUGUAAAUGCUGUAAAGCAGCUAAAUGUGGAGGCUCAGAUUGCACUUGCGACGACUACCUGCGACGAUUGCAAGUGCUGUAAAGGAUCGAAAUGCGGAGGAGCCGACUGUACCUGCAAAGAUUGUAAAUGUUGCAACGCUUCGAAAUGCGGCGGAUCCGAUUGUACCUGUAAAGACUGUAAAUGCUGUAAAGCAGCUAAAUGUGGAGGCUCAGAUUGUACUUGCGACGAUUGCAGAUGCUGCAAAGCAUCAUGUUGCUAAGAAUGAAAUAAACCACAUUCUAUUUUGUCACUAAAUAAACGUAUAAUUAAAUCAAUUUAUGCAAGCUUUAUUAAUUAUAUUACUUUUUAUAUUAUAUCAAUAAAUCAUUUGUAUGCUG
rnacentral:lncRNA from 1 species